GGCUCUGGGGAGGCCUCAGGAAGCUUACAAUCAUGGUGGAAGGCAAAGGGGGUGCAGGCAUGUCACGUGGCCAGAGCAGGAGCUAGAGAGAGAGAGUUGGGUGAGGGAGAAGCAGCUGCACACUUUUAAAUGACCAGUUGUCUAAGAGAACUCACUCAUUGUCAUGAGAAUAGCACCAAGAGGUUGGUGCUAAACCAUUCAGGAGAAAUCCACCCCCAUGAUCCAAUCACCUCCCAGCAGGCCCCACCUCCAGCAUUGGGGAUUACAGUUCAACAUGAGAUUUGGGCAGGACAAAUAUCCAAACUAUAUUACACCAUAUAAUAAUAACAUUUUGGUCAACAAUGGAUUGCAUAUAUGACAGUGGUCUCAUAAGAUUAUAAUACCAUAUUUUUACUGUACCUUUUCUACAUUUAGAUGUGUUUAGAUAUGUAAAUACUUACCACUGUAUUAUAAUUGCCUGCAGUGUUUAGUACAGUAGCAUGCUGUAAAGGUUUGAAGUCUAGGAACAAUUGGCUGUCCCAUAUAGCCUAGGUGUGUAGAAGGCCGUACCAUAGGGGGAAAAGUAGUCCAUUGGAGGGUUUUGACUGGGAGAAUGACAUGACUUGAUUUAUGUGUUUAAAAGAUUAUUCUGGCUCUUGUGUUGAGGACUGACCAUAGAGAGUGUUGUCAUGUAACAAACCACUCCAAUAGUAGCUUAAAACAAUAAAGUGUUAUUGUCUCUGACAGUUCUUUGGGUAACUGGGCUCAGCUGGGUGGUUUUCACUUGGGGUCUCAUGUGGUUUCCAUCAGGUAAUGGCUGGAGCUGGUGUCAUCUGAAGACUCGACUGGGCUGGAUGUCCAAGAUGGCUCCUUCACUCAAUUAUCUGAGUCUUAGUUUUCCUUUGCAUGGCUUCUCUCUUCAGCAGAGUAACCUGGACUUGUUGUGUGACAGCUCAGGUUUCCAGGAGUCAGGACACAGGAACUGCCAGCCCUCUUAAAAGCUAGGCUGGAAGUACACAGCAUUACUUCUACCAUAUUUCAUCAAUCAGAUAGUCAUAGGUCAGCCCCAGAUUGAAGGCGGUGGAAGGCUGGACUCUCCUUCUCAGUAGGGAAGUGACAGAAACCUAUAGG
rnacentral:lncRNA from 1 species